CGCCCAUAGACUGCUGGAGAUAGGCACCAGCUCUCCUGCAACCCACUAUGGAAGAAGUGGUAGGUUGUAAAGUAAGGGCGUGUUGACAGUAGACGGGGUGGUGCAGAUGGUGGGAUGUGGCAGCAGUUUGACUUCGCCGAAGAAUGGGAGAUUCAGCUGUCGACCCUUGGCCCCCCUAGCUCUGACCUUAUGUGCCUCUGAUCACCGUCUGGCUUUAUCUGAUUAUAACAAAAUCCAUGCUGCUUUCACUCUCACAAUGCAGCCACAACAAUAAAUAAGCAUCCCUUGAAA